GACCAGAGCGUGGAGUUGACCGGCGCUUUACCACUGGUGCCAAAGGGCCAUCGACUGGUGCGCAAACGCAAGGCGCCAGAAGUCGAGUCCUCUAGGUACUGAUGUGCUGUUUUGACGAGUUGCUAAGUAUCCGUAGCAUUGAAUAAUGACAGUGUCCACUUGUAGGCUUCCUGCUCCGCCACCCGGGAUCGAACCCGAAGAGGUGGAAACAGGCCCAUCCGCCGUCGCUGCAGUGACCAUUGCUGUGGCGGGGACCACUUAAUCGGCCAAUCAAACCUCACCGCCGGCAACAGGGAUUCCGCGACGGGCCUUGCGGGUGAAAAAGGCCGCCAAAAAGAAGUCUACACUGGCUGCGAGCGCGGUGCAGCUUCAGCUGGACCCGAGCACGGCUACUGCAGCCCCAGAGCCGUCAACCGGGGCUGAACCUUCCGGUGUGGAACUGACCCCAACUGCUGCAGCCUCCGAGCCCUCGGCGCCUGGAGAACAAGUGCCCACGGAGCUGGCCCCUGAAGCAGAUGCGACGCUUCCCGACUUGCCGCCUCCCGAGCUCUGACAGGACGAAGCCGAAGCUGGUGGCGGAGAACAAGUCAAAACCCCUGAUGCCGCUCCUACUGAUGGCAUAGGUGUCCAAGAACUGCCGCCGGAGAUAUCGCCGGGUCCUCGGGGAAUCCCCGUGAGAUACUGAGGGCCGGGCCGGGAUACAAGAACGUCAUCACCACCGACCUGGUGGACGACCCCCUGCUGACGGCAGAAAAUUUAAGGACCUUCAAGAGCACCUUCAAGGAGCUAUACGAUUUUUCCAUGCAUGUGAUUACCAAAUCUCAGAAGAAAUCGAAGAAGCUCGGCGCCGUUGUGAGUGAUGCGAAGGAGUUAGCUGCCCUGGACAAGCGCAUCUCCGAGGAGAAGACGAAGAAUUGCUAUCUGCAGCGAGAGCUUGACAUACUGAAGCAGGAAAGAACUCGAGAGACUUGGC